AGGAUAGAGGCCUACCAUGGUGGUAACGGGUAACGGGGUGUUAGGGCACGACACCGGAGAGGGAGCCUGAGAAACGGCUACCACAUCCAAGGAUGGCAGCAGGCGCGCAAAUUACCCAAUCCCGACACGGGGAGGUAGUGACAAUAAAUAACAAUACGGGGUUCUUUCGGAUCUCGUAAUUGGAAUGAGUACAAUUUAAAUCUCUUAACGAGGAACAAUUGGAGGGCAAGUCUGGUGCCAGCAGCCGCGGUAAUUCCAGCUCCAAUAGCGUAUAUUAAAGUUGUUGCAGUUAAAAAGCUCGUAGUUGAAUUUCGGGGUUAGUAGGUUGGUCAUGCCUCUGGUAUGUACUGGUCUCACUGAUUCCUCCUUCCUGAUGAACCGUAAUGCCAUUAAUUUGGUGUUGCGGGGAAUUUGGACUGUUACUUUGAAAAAAUUAGAGUGUUUAAGGCAAGCUAACGCUUGAAUACAUUAGCAUGGAAUAAUGAAAUAGGACGUUCGAUCCUAUUUUGUUGGUUUCUAGGAUUGACGUAAUGAUUAAUAGGGAUAGUUGGGGGCAUUAGUAUUCAAUUGUCAGAGGUGAAAUUCUUGGAUUUAUUGAAGACUAACUACUGCGAAAGCAUUUGCCAAGGAUGUUUUCAUUAAUCAAGAACGAAAGUUAGGGGAUCGAAGACGAUCAGAUACCGUCGUAGUCUUAACCACAAACUAUGCCGACUAGGGAU
rnacentral:rRNA from 1 species